UCGGGGGCAUUCGUAUUGCGCAGKUAGAGGKGAAAUUUUCCGAUCUGCGCAAGACGCACUAAUGCGAAAGCAGUUGCCAAGGACGUUCUCUUAUGAUCAAGAGCGAAAGUCGGGGGAUCAAAGAUGAUUAGAUACCGUCGUAGUCCCGACCAUAAAUGAUGCCAACUGAGCGUCGGCGACGCGGCUGUCAGCCGGACGUCGGCGCUCUUGAGAGAAAUUAAAGUCUUUGGGCUCCGGGGGUAGUAUGGUCGCAAGUCUGAAACUWGAAGGAAUUGACGGAAGGGCACCACAAGGCGUGGAUGUUGCGGCUUAAUUUGACUCAACACGGGAAAGCUUACUAGGUUUGGACACUUGAAUGAGGGACAUAUUGAAGCUCUUACCUUUUUUUGUGGAUGGUGGUGCAUGGUCGUUCUCAGCCCGUGGGUUGACCUGUCAGGUUUACUCCGGUAACGCGCGAGACCUCGGUUUGCUAAAUAGACACGGCUGUUUCGGCACCCGUGAUCUUCUUAGAGAGAGUCUUGACGAGAGUUGAGGGAAGUCGAGGCAAUAACAGAUCUGUGAUGCCCUUAGUUAUCCUAGGUCGCACGCGCCAUACAAUGUGGCGCACAACGAGUCUCCUAGGCCGACAGGAUUUCUCGUCGACGGCAGAUGCAUUGGUCCCGUGGGUUGGKGCAUCUACUCUUCGNAAGUGGAUCGCCGACGCGCGGUCGAUCUCGCGACGCUGUCGCGAGAACUACUGGGCAAUCUUGCAGAGCGCUACGUGACUGGGCUAGACUUUUGUAAUUGUUGGUCUUGAACGAGGAAUGCCUAGUAAUCGCAGGUCAUUAUCCUGAGAUGAUUUGGUCCYUGCCCUUYGUACACACCGCCCGUCGCUCCAUCCGUGGCAUGCGYCGGUGAAGAGGGGGAGGCAGCGUC
rnacentral:rRNA from 1 species